GUGGGUUGGGGAAGGGAGAGAAAGGUUUGAUUUGAUAGUUGGAAUAACUUUUUCAUAGCCUAUUUUAUCUUGGGGGCAGAUUUUAGAAAAUCCAUUAUGUUACAUAUCUUAAAGGGCAAGAGGUUUUAUUUUUCUUGGUGAGGUUUUUGUUGAUUUUCCAGGCAAGGAAUCAAAAAGUUGGGGAGAAGCCUCUUCUCUCAAUUUCCACAUUCGUGUAGGCAGCUCGAAACAAUGUGCUUCUUGCUGUUCCAGCACUUCUUUAUGCUAUUAAUAACUAUCUAAAGUUCACAAUGCAGGUAAGAUUCCUAUAUAGGUCCUCUUACCAUAUGUUUACGCUUUUAGAUAGCAUGUCUAUCUCUCUUUUUAUCUAUCUGUACAAUAUAAUUUAAUAAUUUUUUUUGAAUAUAGACUUGAUUAUUUUGCAAGCUUUGUAUGUCAAUACCAUGCAUAGAUCAGUGCCUGGAAGUGUUGGCCACCUAGGUUGUCUUUUUUGGGCUAAGAGUCUGGGUGUGUUAGCACUGCAAUGGCAGUAUUCUAGAUGCUCAAUGGCUUAGGUUUGUUGGUUUGGAGAUAGAAUAAUCUGAGUAAAGAGACUGGAUUGCUGCAAAUAGCAAAUGAAAAAGAAAAUAGAGAGAGAGGAGAAAGAUCAACUUGGUAUCACCUUAGGGUUCUUGUGCAUCACACCUAAGUGAUGGGUGCAUCAUGUAUCAAACAAGCAGCUGGGUUUUCCAUCCUUUUUCUUAACUGCUGAAAUAUCAAUAAACUAUAUAUAGGCAUCCACCUAUGCAGCUUUGGGACCAAGUUUCUCAAAGUUAAUUGAGCAUGCAAUUAAAGUGCAUCCAAAAUGGCCCACAAUUGAAGUUAAUUUAUUUUAAAUCUCUAACUUGUGUGACUUUUGCCAUAUGUCUUUAAGUAAGAAUCAUAAGUUGGAUUAUGUAUACUACAUGUGUCCAAAUUUUUUGCAGUUGUUUUGUCUGUUGCAUUCAUUUAGAUACCUAACAUACCAUCCUUUUCAUGUCCCAGUUCUUGGUCAUUUGUUGUUUGUUGGAAGCAUAAAUUGAUAGAUAUGUGCCAGUAUUUAACAGCAUGAUGUUCAUCUCUUAGCAUUGUGUUACCUGUCUUCUGGUAAAUCUGAUUUCUAAUUGAAGGUCUCUAUGAACUUGAUUUUAGAGUGUUUAUUUUUUACCUUCAUCCACUUUGUGAGAUCUAGACUUUUUGAAUUCCACAAUAGGUGUUCAAAUAUUGUUGCAACCCUAAAUU